UAUGAAUGCGUUGUAUAAAACGUUUGGAAAGUUCAAUCAAGGCUGUAAUGAAACAUGACUGUCAUAAGUAUAUCGGUAAAGUUUAAAAACAAUCAGAAAACGUGUAGAAUAUAUGAGAUAUAAAUAUGUAGAAAUUACAAGAUAUUUAGAUCUACAAUCAUGGAAUUAAAUGUAAUAAAUAACGAAACAAUUUUAGUUAGGUGUAACAAAUAUAGAUAUAAUUGAUUCUUAACAGAAAUGAAACUCAUCAAAGAAUAGGGAGCUCUUAAACCCACGUUCAAGAGAUUGGCGAUUCAUAUUUGUAUCUUACAAAAUGUAUAAUAGUCCAAUUCUAUUAAAACACAACCAACAGUGGCUCACGAUAGUAUUCCAACACUUACCAUAAAAAACUUUUAUAUAUAUUCAAUGCGUUAUACAAAGCAUUUUGUAGUUUUAUCAAUCUUACAUAUGUAUUCUGACUAUUCACGCUGGACAUGUUAAAAAUAUUUUGCACUGAAAGAAUGAAUAGUUUUCUGGGUAAUUUAAACCAAUUGUAACAUCUUACAUGAAAUGGGGAGAUGUUCUAAUACUUAUGAACGAUGGUGUACGAUGACUAGAGAGAGGCUUUGGAGGCAGUAGGGAGACGACUGGGUGGUUAGUGGGUGGCGGAUAGGCAGAGAGAGAAGAGACGAGGGUGAGGCGGCUUCUAGAGGCUAGAGAGUGUCGAGAGACCCGUUCUGGGAGUGUGGAUGGUAGUAGGGACUCCCGAGUGAGCUGUUUGCAGUUCCUUCCACAAGCCUCCAGUUUGCAUUAGUUUGCAUACGUGAGUGAAAGUUUAAAGUUUAGUAAUUUAAACAGCCGCGCGCUGUCCCUUUUCCGAAGAGCUUCCGUGGAUAUAUGUGCAUUCGCACAUAUAUUACGUGCAUUCUAUAUCGUGCCAUACCACUGGCUAUGCGCACCACAGCCAUGGCCACGUACAGGUUGCCGGCUCCCGUGUCUGGGAAUAUUCAACGGAUGCAAUUUUUCAACAGUCCAGGAAAUUGAACGGAAAAUUUUUAUGGAGUUUCGAAUAACGACAGUCGCGGAGUUUCUCGGAAAAUCCUCGAUACGCUCAAGUAUUUUUAUAGUUGCUGUUAAAACUAAAAUAAACUACAAUAGGAAUUGAUUGAAGUUCAUAAGUGAAAGUUGUACGAACACAUA